UUUUUUUAAAUGGUGGAAAAA
rnacentral:piRNA from 1 species